CGCGUAGGCGGUUUCGGAAGUUAUGGGUGAAAGCCCCCGGCUCAACUGGGGAAUUGCCUGUAAAACCACGGAUCUGGAGUGCUGGAGAGGGAAGUGGAAUUCCCAGUGUAGCGGUGAAAUGCGUAGAUGUUGGGAGGAACACCAGUGGCGAAGGCGGCUUCCUGGACAGACACUGACGCUGAGGCGCGAAAGCCAGGGGAGCGAACG
rnacentral:rRNA from 1 species